AGGGAUGACAUUCGUAUUCUUUUAUUCGAAGAAAACAAAAGAAUAUAAGGUGAUUUUCAUAGAAUGGCUCCAAAAAUCUUCUUGUGCAUUUUUUUCGUAGCUGUGCUAUUGGCUUCAGAAGCAACAAGUGGCACAAUGGGUGAAGUGGCUGAAAUGAAGGUCUGCAGCAAGAGUCAUGGAAAGUGUCCAGAUAAUAGAUUUUGCUCUGCUUACUGUAUAGAAAGGAAUUACCAAAGAGGCCACUGUGAAGGCUUAGCUUGUUGCUGUUUCAUUCACGACUAGAGUUUAGAGUUUAAGAUUUUUGUUAUUAUAAUAAUAUCCCUAUUAAUAAUAAACACAGCUUUUGUGUUUUCCUUGUUA